GAUUUAACAACCGGCUUCAGCUGAGCGAUCUCCAGAGCUUCCCACAGCAUCUCAUCUGUAGCCUUCAUCUCUGGGUCCAGGUUUCCUCCGAUUGGAUACCUUCUGCCCAGGGUCGAUGUGUGCAUUGACAUUUUUGAGCACUGGCUUCAGCGUGGCGUCGUACCGGACGCUCAGAUUCUGGAUCUUGAUCUCUCCCUGUCGGGGCCAGCCGUCAGGGACCUGAGACACUGCUGAGACAGCAAGGAAACAUCUCUGUAUUUAACCUUCACCUUUCUUACCCCUCGAUCAUUGGGUUAUAAUUGCUAUUUCUACAUAUGUGAUCAUUGGAGUCGGAAUAAGAUUUUUUCAACUAUGUUUGAAUUAAUUAAAAAUGUAUUUUAAAGCUAAAAAGGUACUUUAAUUUCUCAUGCUAGGGGGUGUCUCAAUUAAAACCUUAAAAAAAGAUAGCCUUUGAUGAUGUCAUCAAGUAGUGUGGGAUUAUGGGAGUGGUUGUCUCCAUUAUUGAACAACCACCAUUGAAGAUAAAAAAAAAAUCUGUCUGACAUAAUGCAGACAGAAAUGACAAGACAAGACAAGACAAGACAAAAAAUGUUUUUUUUUCUUUUUUCACAUUAUGUCACUUUAAUUUAAUGAAAUACUUGGAAGUAAUGUCAGCCAAUGUAAUGUUAACUUCCUAACUUACCAUUCGAAAAGUUCCCCAACAACUACUGCAGUUAAAUAACUUAUAAUAUAUAUAAUAUAAGUGUUAAGAUAUUGAAAUAUCUAUCUGUCUCUACUGGAUUAAUGUGUUGCAAAAUGGCAUUUAAUAAAUGAGCUAAGUGCUGUAUAACUGAG